UCUACGUUACAAUGUGAUUAACAUGGUUCUCGUCCAAAGUUAAGCAACGUUAGGCCUGGUUAGUACUUGGGAGGGUGACCACUUGGGAAUACCGGGUGCUGUAAGGU
rnacentral:rRNA from 1 species